GCAGUCGUGGCUGAGUGGUUACGGCGAUGGAUUAGAAAUCCAUUGGGGUCUCCCCGCACAGGUUCGAAUCCUGUCGACUGCG
rnacentral:tRNA from 1 species